CCACAUGGAGCUCCGUCCUCUACAUAACCUAAAUCUGUAUCAUCAUCUAAAAGAACAUGAGCACCACUAGAAGAAAUAAGUUUUAAGCCAUUGACACUCCUAUGCUCCUGUGGGAACACCAAGAUCUGCUAUUCAGAACCUGAAAUUCAGUUUUCCAUUGAACAGACCUGGUUAUUUGACCUGCAGCUGAAUUCUACCACUUGAAUCCUUAACAGCACUGGCAGACAAUAUCUCAGUUGUAGGAUUUCUCCUCUGACUUUUGUACAGAUACAAUUAAAUCAGGUACAUGUAAUGGUAAUGCAGUGAUCAAAAACCAGAGUAUAAAUAUUGGACCUAGAAAACAGGGAGCCAUAAGGCAGAUAUUAGCAGCAAAAUAAGGUAAGUUACACUUAACAGUAACUAAUUAUUUUUUUUUAAAUUAUCUAACAAAAAGAAAAAUUCUUCUGUGGACUUUCAUGCAUUGCAUACUGAGCAAACACACUGCCAGAGUACAAUUCUUUUUCAUUCUCUACUACAGUAAGUCAUUUGAGUGAAAUAUUUUUUGCCACUUACCAUAUUCAAAGAUUUCAUGAGAUAUUAUCAAAAGACUUUAAUGAUACUAAAAAAGGUGUGAGCAGAUUGACAUAACAGGCACUGGUAUUUUGAAAUUUCAAGCAUCUUUUGGUCUGGAAAAUUUUAGUCCAUCACAUAUUAUAAUAUAAUAUUCAAGAGUAGUAACUAGU